UACAGAGGUCCCAAGCGUUGUUCGGAUUCAUUGGGCGUAAAGGGUGCGUAGGUGGUGCCGUAAGUCAGGUGUGAAAUCUCGGGGCUCAACCCCGAAACUGCACUUGAUACUGCGGUGCUUGAGGACUGGAGAGGAGAUCGGAAUUCAUGGUGUAGCAGUGAAAUGCGUAGAUAUCAUGAGGAAGACCAGUGGCGAAGGCGGAUCUCUGGACAGUUCCUGACACUGAGGCACGAAGGCCAGGGGAGCAAACGGG
rnacentral:rRNA from 1 species